rnacentral:rRNA from 1 species
UAGAGUUUGAUCAUGGCUCAGAGCGAACGCUGGCGGCAGGCUUAACACAUGCAAGUCGAGCGGGCGUAGCAAUACGUCAGCGGCAGACGGGUGAGUAACGCGUGGGAACAUACCUUUUGGUUCGGAACAACACAGGGAAACUUGUGCUAAUACCGGAUAAGCCCUUACGGGGAAAGAUUUAUCGCCGAAAGAUUGGCCCGCGUCUGAUUAGCUAGUUGGUGAGGUAAUGGCUCACCAAGGCGACGAUCAGUAGCUGGUCUGAGAGGAUGAUCAGCCACAUUGGGACUGAGACACGGCCCAAACUCCUACGGGAGGCAGCAGUGGGGAAUAUUGGACAAUGGGCGCAAGCCUGAUCCAGCCAUGCCGCGUGAGUGAUGAAGGCCCUAGGGUUGUAAAGCUCUUUUGUGCGGGAAGAUAAUGACGGUACCGCAAGAAUAAGCCCCGGCUAACUUCGUGCCAGCAGCCGCGGUA